rfam:Oryza glumipatula chromosome 7, whole genome shotgun sequence.
AAAAAAACAAACCCUAGGUUUCUGUGUCCAACGUUUGACUGUCCGUUUUAUAUGAAAUUUUUUCUAUAAUUAGUAUUUUCAUUGUUGUUAGAUGACAAAACAUGAUUAAUAAUUUAUGCGUGAGUUGUCUUUUUAAUUUUUUCAAAUAAGACGAACGGUCAAUGUUGGACACGGAAACCCAGGGUUUGUCUUUUU